rnacentral:rRNA from 1 species
GCAUAAUAAAUAGGUUUUUAAUUGAAAUCUGGAAUGAAAGGUUAGACUAAGAAGAUUGUUUUAUUUAAUUAUUUUGAAUUUAAGUUAAAAGUAAAAACGCUUUUAUAAAGUUCUGGGACGAGAAGACCCUAGAAGCUUUUGAAGAAUUUUUAAUUGGGGUAAUUAAAUGAAGAUAAGGAUUUUUAAUAAGUUACUCUAGGGAUAACAGCAUUAUUUAAUUAACAAGUUCUUAUUAAUAAUUAAGUUUGUGACCUCGAUGUUGAAUUAAUU